GACGAACGCUGGCGGCGUGCUUAACACAUGCAAGUCGAACGGUAAGGCCCUUCGGGGUACACGAGUGGCGAACGGGUGAGUAACACGUGGGUGAUCUGCCCUGCACUUCGGGAUAAGCCUGGGAAACUGGGUCUACUACCGGAUAGGACCACUGCCUGCAUGGGUGGUGGUGGAAAGCUUUUGCGGUGUGGGAUGGGCCCGCGGCCUAUCAGCUUGUUGGUGGGGUGAUGGCCUACCAAGGCGACGACGGGUAGCCGGCCUGAGAGGGUGACCGGCCACACUGGGACUGAGAUACGGCCCAGACUCCUACGGGAGGCAGCAGUGGGGAAUAUUGCACAAUGGGCGCAAGCCUGAUGCAGCGACGCCGCGUGAGGGAUGACGGCCUUCGGGUUGUAAACCUCUUUCAGCACCGACGAAGCGCAAGUGACGGUAGGUGCAGAAGAAGGACCGGCCAACUACGAGCCAGCAGCCGCGGUAACAC
rnacentral:rRNA from 1 species